rnacentral:SRP_RNA from 2 species
GCCGGGCGUGGUGGCUCACGCCUGUAAUCCCAGCAUUUUGGGAGGCCGAGGCGGGUGGAUCACCUGAGGUUGGGAGUUCAAGACCAGCCUGACCAACAUGGAGAAACCCUGUCUCUA